rnacentral:rRNA from 1 species
GACGAACGCUGGCGGCGUGCUUAACACAUGCAAGUCGAACGGAAAGGCCCUGCUUUUGUGGGGUGCUCGAGUGGCGAACGGGUGAGUAACACGUGAGUAACCUGCCCUUGACUUUGGGAUAACUUCAGGAAACUGGGGCUAAUACCGGAUAGGAGCUCCUGCUGCAUGGUGGGGGUUGGAAAGUUUCGGCGGUUGGGGAUGGACUCGCGGCUUAUCAGCUUGUUGGUGGGGUAGUGGCUUACCAAGGCUUUGACGGGUAGCCGGCCUGAGAGGGUGACCGGCCACAUUGGGACUGAGAUACGGAGCAGACUCCAACGGGAGGCAGCAGUGGGGAACAUUGCACAGUGGGGGGACGCCUGAUGCAGCAACGCCGCGUGCGGGAUGCCGGCCUUCGGGUUGUAAACCGCUUUGGACUGUGACGAAGCGUGAGUGACGGUAAUGGGUAAAGAAGCACCGGCUAACUACGUG